rnacentral:rRNA from 1 species
AUUGAACGCUGGCGGCAUGCCUUACACAUGCAAGUCGAACGGCAGCAUGGGUGCUUGCACCUGGUGGCGAGUGGCGAACGGGUGAGUAAUACAUCGGAACAUGUCCUGUAGUGGGGGAUAGCCCGGCGAAAGCCGGAUUAAUACCGCAUACGAUCUACGGAUGAAAGCGGGGGCCCUUCGGGCCUCGCGCUAUAGGGUUGGCCGAUGGCUGAUUAGCUAGUUGGUGGGGUAAAGGCCUACCAAGGCGACGAUCAGUAGCUGGUCUGAGAGGACGACCGGCCACACUGGGACUGAGACACGGCCCAGACUCCUACGGGAGGCAGCAGUGGGGAAUUUUGGACAAUGGGCGAAAGCCUGAUCCAGCAAUGCCGCGUGUGUGAAGAAGGCCUUCGGGUUGUAAAGCACUUUUGUCCGGAAAGAAAUCCUUGGCCCUAAUACGGUCGGGGGAUGACGGUACCGGAAGAAUAAGCACCGGCUAACUACGUG